GGAUCAACGAUGGUUCCCAGUCAAACAUUCCUUGGAAAUCUCAAUGAAAUGGGUGAAAACUCAGUAUCACCACUCUCAUCGAAACUGAGGUCU